AACUCUAUCAGUUUCUUUUCUCUAUCUAGAAGAAAACCGAAUUUUACCCCCUAAAUCUCCAAACCUAAAUCUCAGCAUCGAAAACAUUCGUUUCGAGUUUCAACUCUAUUCAGAUCGUGUCGACCAUGGUAAAAGCUAAAUCGACUAUCUGUUCUAGAAGAUAAAUUCUGAAUGGAAAGGAAAAGUUGUGGAGAAUCAAUAUCAGCAAACUAUUUUGAAGAUUUCAUCAUUGAAAGCGAUUGGAAAGAUAAGUAUAAUCUAUUCUUAUCAUUUGAAUUUGAUUACACUCUUGAUUUUUCGAUUUUGAAAUCUGAUUUCAGAAAAAAUAAAUACAGUUCAAUAAAACCUAAUUUUUUUGAUUUCAAUUCGAACUUAUUUUUGGAUUCAUAGUCAUAUCUUGGAUUUGUAACAAUAUGUGAAUUGAAAACUACGAAGUUUCGCCAAAUUGUACGCAGUUAAUCUCUGCAAUUCGAUCCAUCUCUCAAUUCAAUCACAAUUCAAAAUUCAGAUUGGUAAUCAGCAUGUCUUAAUCUUCAUUACCCAUCAAACAAAAACAAACUCUAAUUGUUGAUACGUGUAUUAUGUUUAGAACAAAAUCGUGUGUAGAUUUGUUCCAAGACUGUUGUACAAAAUCAUGAGUUCAACUCAUUAAAGAGUAGUAGGUCAAGAGGGAAAGUGAGGCAUAUCAAUUGAAAUGCAAAAGAAUAUGUUGUUUACUUCUAUUGAACAAAGUAUAUUACACUCCAUGCGUGUAUACAAAAAUAGAGAGUUGAUUUUGUUGCAGGUUGAUAGGAGUUCAGUCUUCUAUAACUAGAAGAUGAUUAUGGGGUUAGCCAAGUUUCAUCGAACUUUGGAAUGAGGGACCAAUAAGAGGAAACCGAUUGGAACAUGAGCAAAAGCCUGAGAAUAAAACCUGAAGAGGUAUCCAUCGACGUCUUGCUGGAGGCAUUAUGUGUGUUUGAGAUGUAUUUCACUUGACGCCUAGUAUUAUUUACUCUCUUAUUCUGCUUGUCUUAUUCUCACAUCCGAAAAACGGGAGGAGAGGGAGUAUAUCAAUGAUCCUAAUGAUGUUGAACCUGAGAGUUUGAAUAUGAUCCUGAUAUUACAGGGACUCAAUAAUUCCUAGGCCACUCGAAAGAACAUUUGAUUUACAGGAUUAGUGUCACUUGAGCCCUGUGGGGUCGGUACACAAUACAUUGCGUUGUGGCACGUAUACAUAAUAUAUGUAUUACAGUAUAUGUUCUUGAAUGAAAGCCUUAUGCACCUGAACUUGGCUGGAACUCAUAGAAAGCAAAGGAUAAGCAAAAAGAUAUACGUGACAUAGAGUGAAUGAUAAAGGAGCUGUUGGCAUCUUUCGAUCUCCCAUUUCAUAGAUUAUGGACAAUUGAUCAAACUUCCGAUAUCUGGUACACAUGCAAGAUGAAACGACAAAAACAAAUUCGAGGGUGGUGUCAAACAAACUGGAACUCAAAAGAGCCAUAUGAUUUACCAAGCACGAAAAUUGCAGCUUUUUUAAGUCGCAGUAAAGUUGUGAAACUACUAGAUGGUGGAACAACAUCAACAUCAAUUGCAAGAGAUUCAGUUUAUGCUUAGGAUGACCUUCAUUAGUACCUGCAUCUACAGAGCCUCUACUGCAAUCCUAAAUUGUAUAUGGAGGUAUGAUUAAUAUGCUUUGUUAAGCCGAAAAAUGAAACAAGGGAAGGAUAUAAUCAUUUGUCUAAGUAUACAUCGUUGAUGGACUAGUUCAUUAUUAAAAUAUUGAUAGUCAGGUUAUUGUAGCGAAAUGAUGGUCUAAAUUGCACUGAUAUAGUGCUUGUUGUAAAUUAAAAUGCACAAUAUUUGCCUCUUAUCAGUUUUCAAUUUUGGCAACUUGUAUA